GGGCCUUUAGCUCAGGCGGUUAGAGCGUACCCCUGAUAAGGGUAAGGUCAGUGGUUCAAGUCCACUAAGGCCCAUAG
rnacentral:tRNA from 1 species